AUAUUAAAACGUGACAUAUCUCUAUAUACAGCAUGCGCUUUCCUGGAUUGGGUAACAGGCUUGUGCAUGGUAGGGUUGGAUUUUUUAAGGAGAACUGACCACAAAGGAUUGACCAGCGAUAGAAGCCAUCAGACAUGUGCUGGUGGCCAAAGAGAUUAGCCUACGUUUGUUUCUCUGCUGCUCAGUCUUGCACUGAAACCCGUAGCGUUCGUAUGGAUCAGUGAACUGGAAAUCGAUGUGGAAUGAACCUCUACUAGUUCCCAGGCAAAUGUAUAAAUAGUUCAGUUUUGCAAACACAAGGAAGAGUUGGUGGAUUACGGCAUCAAGGACUGACAACUGGAAAAGAAGGUGGUGGAAUAGAAAAGAAAAGGUGGCAUUAUCUGUACGUCAAGAGCUGAGAGAGAUCAAUGCUGAAAGAGAGUUAGUAGAACAGUAAAGCUGACUGAUCACAACAUCACUCAUAACAAAUCUUCUGUCAAGAGCUGAGAAUGGUAUAUUUCAUUGUUCAGGAGGUAACUGUAAUGUGACAUAGCAGUAAUAUGCAGAUUUUUAUUGUAUUGAUGAUGAAAACCAGCAGAUGAAUCUCAGAAGAGGUUUGCAAAAAUCAAUCUUAAACAACGCAGCAACAGUUUUACGAUGUAAGCUGGCGUGCUUUCAUUUGCUCACAGAUGUUUUUGUUAUUGCGUCUGCUUUUCUUCUCUUUAAUUGUUCUCUUUGCUGUAAUGAUAGCAAGGACUACAUUAAAAAUACCUGUGGUCGGAAAAAGCAAAGCUUCUGCCAGUGCAACCACCCCUCCUAGUGGUUAAAAUAGACAUAGCAUUUAAACGCCCAUGAUUUUGCAUCUACAGUAUACGGAUCACUCUAUUGUUCCUUUAGCUGUUGUUACAGUAGUUGUUUUUAUUAUUAAUUGUCAUAACUGCUGCCAGACUUUUCAUGAAAAUCUAAAAUUCCCACACAGAGGUCAAAUACAAUAUGACUUUGCAGAACUAUAACCCAAAUUAAGAGUGGAGUAUUUUUCACUCACACCCUCAGCAACAGUUGUUUUACAAUCUAGGUUAUUGCAACAACACUGCAGACAGCAAAAUGAGUUUGGAGGAAAGCCAACGAUGAGACAUAAAAAAAUAAGGUUUAAAGGUGUUUCCUAAAGUAAUUAUUCCAUGUUGACACAUAUAAUGUGGAAGUUGUAGUGAAUAAAAGUUUAGUAACUUUUAAUGCACCUGAAGUUGCCUCAUUCCCCUGAAAUGUACAGACCCAAGAUUUGUCUGUCUGCAAAUCUUGUUUGUAUCACGACAUAACUCUGAGAUAAAAGUGUUCUAGCAUCUUCAUUUCCUCUGAUCUCGAGAUUUUCUUAGUCCUCAACCAAAUGUAUUCUUUACUUAUUCAGGAAAACUGACUGCAACUUUAUUACGCAGUUUCUGUUUUUGACUUUUGAAAAAAAUUCUCUCAUUUCUCUCAUUGCAGCUAUCCUCAGGUGAGAAAUUCAACUGCGAAAUGGCAACCGAUAGUCCAAAACUUAGCCAUUUUUUAGCAGUUUGCUAGUUGUGCAAAUAAUAAUAUUCUUCCAGAGUAAAUCUAAACUGUUUCAAAAGAGGUUUAAAAAACUAUAUAAAAUAGGGCUGUACAAGAUAUUAAAAACAAAAAAAACUUACUAAAUAAGGAGGUAAAUGAGAUAACAUAAGACAUAGCAAGAGGAGUAGGAAGAAAUUUCACUAUUGUAGAUUAAUACAUAUGUUUAUUUCCUAAUUUCACCCAUGUAAACUAAUGCAAGUCUAGUUCAUAUUAAUCCUGACUCAUGGAAAAUCCGGAAAACUACUUGACAAAUUGUUUAUCUUAAAUAACCUUGAUGUCAAAAUUAUGUAAUCUCAGUGAAACUGGACUGGAUUUCUCAGAAGGGCUAGGAGGAAAUAAUUCUAAAAUUAUGUCUGGAGUAUUUAAACAAUGCUCUCUCUCCAGUCAUAUCACAUAAAAAUGAACUCCCCCAAAUGGCAGUGAAAUUGUCCAGAGAAAUUGUUCCCAGAGUACUCCUGUACCUUUUUUAGAAACAGCUCCCUUGUGUAUAGCCCUCAGUCUCAGGCCCAGCUGAUGCACAACACCAAGAAACCAGAUGCAGGGGACAAGGGGAAUCCAGGGUCUUUAAUUUUGGAAACUUCGUUUGUUUUUUUUGUCAUAAUGUAUUGUUCCACUUGUAAAAUGUUAAUAAGGUCUGAAUUAAAAAUAAGCAGCCAAACUCUUCUUUUUAAUCACUUUCCUAUACCUACAACUUGCGAACCUCAUAACAUUUGUGGUGAACAUCCUUGUUGUAUCUUUCAUACUGCUCGUACGUAUUUUAUAGUGUCUCACCACCUUUGGCAUGAUCUCAAAAUGCAGUCUGUGAUGUUGCCAACCUCUUCAAUUUACUCUGUUUUCUAUUGCAUUUGGUAUUUUAAAUAAACUAUUAACGACCAA